AGCAAGGAGCUGAAAAGCCUUUCAGAAAGUUUUUUCAGAAGGUUUUCCUGUGGGAACCAAGAUGGAAUUUGAGCAAUGAGGUCUGUGUGAGAAGAGGAGCACAACGAGCCACACUUAGCAUUCAUGCCAUAUCAUCCUGCAGUGCAAACAGGAGAACAUCUGGAGCCAUUAACAGACACUGGGAGCCCAGCGUUUGCAUUACUUCAUAAUGCUGUGCCUUUUUCUUUAGUGACACUUCUGACUACUUUGGCACUUUAAGUUAGGCUGGUGAUCUGAGGUUCAAGGAGCAAUCCCUAGUAAUAGAGUUCCUACAGAGCAUCCACUCAUGCUUCCUGUAGUGCUGCAGACUUCCUACACCCGUGAGCUCUCUGUCUGGAGCAUGGAUUCUCUGUGUGCCUGGAUUUUUUACAUGCCUCUGAAAUUCACACUGGUAAAGUGUAUAUGUUUAUACCAGCGCAGACUUUGGCAUUGGUCCGUGAUCCCGGAGAAGCAGGGAGCCCGGCGCUGUGCUGCUGCCGGCCCCGGGCUGUAGCCAGCAGCACGGAGCAGCGGGAGCCUCCGGGCAGCGCAGCCGCCUCCGCGUGCCCCUGCACGGCGCUUGCGAGGACCCUACCGCUACCGCUCCUGCGCGGCACAGGGUCAGAGUCUCACCCCCCAGGCUUUUAUUUUACAGGCAGUGCUAUGUUCUGACACUUUUCCAUUAGCCUUGAAAGCUUGAAGGCACUGGGAUUUAGCUGUGAUACGCCUAAAUCUGUAUUUCAGUAAUUGCUUUCAGAAAUACCCACUGCAGCGUGGCCUGUUGUCAGAUGUUACUGUGUCUCGUAUGUCAUAUUUAGUUAAAAUGAAUGUGGUGCGCAAGGUAAUCUGUCUGGUUGCAGCAACUUCUAGAAAGGCUAUGC